rnacentral:rRNA from 1 species
GACGAACGCUGGCGGCGUGCUUAACACAUGCAAGUCGAACGAAGUGGCGAACGGGUGAGUAAUACGUGAGUAACUGCCCUCCUUUUUGGGAUAAGCCUUGGAAACGGGGUCUAAUACCGAAUAAAGGGGGAUGGGCUCGGGGCCUAUCAGCUUGUUGGUGGGGUGAUGGCCUACCAAGGCAGUGACGGGGAGCCGGCCUGGGAGGUGACCGGCCACAGGGGGCUGGGAUACGGCCCAGACGCCUACGGGGGGCAGCAGUGGGGAGUAUUGCACAAUGGGGGAAAGCGUGAUGCAGAGACGCCGCGUGCGUAAUGACGGCCUUCGGGGUGUAAACCGCGUUCAGCCAAGACGCGGUAGUGGCAGAAGAAGCACCGGCUAACUACGUGCCAGCAGCCGCGGUAAUAC